rnacentral:lncRNA from 1 species
GGGAAUUAGUGGCGAGACCCUAAAACUUGUGGACCGCCUCACGGAAGAAGACAGAAAGAUGCAAUCGGAGUUGUCUGAUGGGGAGGAAAGUACCUCAAGGAGCACAUCGCUGUCCGAGACUUCCCGGGGCGGCCAGCCUUCAGUUACCACGAAGUCUGCUAGAAAUAAGAGAACAGAGGCACCGCCCUUAAAAUCAAAGAGAGGAAAGAGCUGCAGUAGGAGGACUGGUCCACAGAGUCCUUGUGAGCGGACGGAUAUCAGGAUGGCAAUAGUAGCCGAUCACCUGGGACUUAGUUGGACAGAGCUGGCAAGGGAACUGAAUUUUUCAGUGGAUGAAAUCAACCAAAUACGAGUGGAAAAUCCCAAUUCUUUAAUUUCUCAGAGCUUCAUGUUAUUAAAAAAGUGGGUGACGAGAGACGGGAAGAAUGCCACAA